rnacentral:sRNA from 1 species
ACUGAGCCUUAGUCGUCGGCGAGUCUCAGGCGCGAAGUUUCUCGGCCCGGAGGAGGGGGUCGUGCGAAGUGCCAGAUGCAGGCGGGGAAGCCCAUCCUCUAUUCCUAUUUCCGAAGCUCCUGCUCAUGGAGAGUUCGAAUUGCUCUGGCCUUGAAAGGCAUCGACUACGAGACGGUGCCCAUCAAUCUCAUAAAGGAUGGGGGCCAACAGGUAAGAAGGCUGUGCCCAGACCACAAUGUGGGAAUUGGAGGCCUUGAACAGGCACCAGGCAGGGGAAGAAGGGGAGGCUCUGCCCCAGAGAAGUGAACCUGUGUCUUGUGGACUAUCACUGCAGGAGGCUGCUGGCUCUCCCUUGUGGGACAACGUGGCAAGCUGUGCAGUAGCAGGAGGCCUGGGAAGGGCCCAGGUCCAGGCUGUGUACCCCAGCCUGGGCUCUCCAGUGCCUGACCCUGGGAGAGUGGGUGGCGAGUGGGUCCCCACCCCAUACUGGGCCCUCUGGAUGGCUGACUAGGGUAGGAGCCGCCUUGGUGGCCACGGCGUGAGAUGCAGGG